rnacentral:rRNA from 1 species
CUGGUCGAGUCGGCCUGCGCGGAAGAUGUAACGGGGCUAAACCAUGCACCGAAGCUGCGGCAGCGACACUAUGUGUUGUUGGGUAGGGGAGCGUUCUGUAAGCCUGUGAAGGUGUGUCGUGAGGCAUGCUGGAGGUAUCAGAAGUGCGAAUGCUGACAUAAGUAACGAUAAAGCGGGUGAAAAGCCCGCUCGCCGGAAGACCAAGGGUUCCUGUCCAACGUUAAUCGGGGCAGGGUGAGUCGACCCCUAAGGCGAGGCCGAAAGGCGUAGUCGAUGGGAAACGGGUUAAUAUUCCCGUACUUGGUGUUACUGCGAAGGGGGGACGGAGAAGGCUAUGUUGGCCGGGCGACGGUUGUCCCGGUUUAAGCGUGUAGGUGUGUGUUCCAGGUAAAUCCGGUUCACUUUAACACUGAGGCGUGACGACGAGGCACUACGGUGCUGAAGCAACAAAUGCCCUGCUUCCAGGAAAAGCCUCUAAGCAUCAGGUAACAUCAAAUCGUACCCCAAACCGACACAGGUGGUCAGGUAGAGAAUACCAAGGCGCUUGAGAGAACUCGGGUGAAGGAACUAGGCAAAAUGGUGCCGUAACUUCGGGAGAAGGCACGCUGACACGUAGGUGAAGUGAUUUACUCAUGGAGCUGAAGUCAGUCGAAGAUACCAGCUGGCUGCAACUGUUUAUUAAAAACACAGCACUGUGCAAACACGAAAGUGGACGUAUACGGUGUGACGCCUGCCCGGUGCCGGAAGGUUAAUUGAUGGGGUCAGCGCAAGCGAAGCUCCUGAUCGAAGCCCCGGUAAACGGCGGCCGUAACUAUAACGGUCCUAAGGUAGCGAAAUUCCUUGUCGGGUAAGUUCCGACCUGCACGAAUGGCGUAAUGAUGGCCAGGCUGUCUCCACCCGAGACUCAGUGAAAUUGAACUCGCUGUGAAGAUGCAGUGUACCCGCGGCAAGACGGAAAGACCCCGUGAACCUUUACUAUAGCUUGACACUGAACAUUGAGCCUUGAUGUGUAG